CAUUUUAAGGUAUUAGUGUGUCUGGCUAGAUCACGCUGGCGGCGCGCUUAACACAUGCAAGUCGCACGAGAAAGGGAGCAAUCCUGAGUAAAGUGGCGUACGGGUGAGUAACACGUGGAUCAUCUACCUUUUAGUGGGGAAUACCCCCGGGAAACUGGGGACAAUACCGCAUAAGCUCGUGAGAGGAAAGCAGCAAUGCGCUGAAAGAGGAGUCCGCGGCUGAUUAGCUAGUUGGUGAGGUAACGGCCCACCAAGGCGAAGAUCGGUAGCCGGCCUGAGAGGGCACACGGCCACACUGGCACUGAAAUACGGGCCAGACUCCUACGGGAGGCAGCAGUGGGGAAUCUUGCACAAUGGAGGAAACUCUGAUGCAGCGACGCCGCGUGAACGAUGAAGCCCUUCGGGGUGUAAAGUUCUUUCGACGGGAACGAUAAUGACGGUACCCGAAGAAGAAGCUGCGGCUAACUACGUGCCAGCAGCCGCGGUAAUACGUAGGCAGCAAGCGUUGUUCGGAAUUACUGGGCGUAAAGAGUGCGUAGGCGGUGCUCUAAGUCUGUUGUGAAAUCUCCCGGCUUAACUGGGAGGGUGCGGCGGAAACUGGAGUGCUUGAGGGUGGGAGAGGUAAGCGGAAUUCCUGGUGUAGCGGUGAAAUGCGUAGAUAUCAGAGGAACACCUGUGGUGUAGACAGCUUACUGGACCACUUCUGACGCUGAGGCACGAAAGCGUGGGUAGCAAACAGGAUUAGAUACCCUGGUAGUCCACGCCCUAACGAUGCAUACUUGGUGUGAGCCAUUCAUUUGGUUCGUGCCGGAGCUACGCGUUAGUAUGCCGCCUGGGAGUACGUCGCAGCUGAACUCAAGAUUGACGGGGCCCGCACAGCGGUGGAGCAUGUGGUUCAAUUC
rnacentral:rRNA from 1 species